UAAUGGUGGGGGGAGCAUGGCUCUGAUGAGCUGAAGGCCGUUCAUGACGACAGUAAUGUGUGUUGAGGCCCUGAGCGAGAGUCCGGUCAUUCAGGGCCUGGGGGGUUUUGGGCUUAUAGUUCGUAAGGGCCCUUAGACCUCUCCAAAAUGCCGCAGAAUCAUUGGAGCGGAACUGUUCCUGUAUACGGUUAGAGUACACAGAUUUAGCUUUCUCCACUUCCCUGGUGAAGUGGUACUUCGCUUCUCUGUAUGUACUUCGGUCCCCACUUCUCCACGCAGGCAUCGGGAUGCCUUUGAAAGAUGGAGACGAUUGAAGGCGGAGAAGAUUUUUUCAUCUGUCGCCAAACUUGUAAUAAAUGGAAAUGUUUUUGCAGAUUACUGUGAGGAUUGUUCUCCCAUGAUGCAAACAGACUUUUCUGGACAAGGGUAGAAGCUGGACCGGAGCAGGAGGGGAUAGAAAGAGACAAAAAGGAAGACCGAAGGAGUGAUUGCGGGGACAAGAGGGGGUGUGUGCUGAGCCAAAGUACGGCCCCAGCCACCCAGAGAGCUCAACCCAAAACAGCAGGUGCGGUGCCCAGGGAACAAAGGACCUCCGACAGGAACCCUACAGCCGAUCCCCCACCGUGCACCCAGCAGGGCCAGCGGCAGGCAAUACAGAGAAGCAGGGGACAGCAAGCCCCCAAACCAGCGGGAGACCACACCCUACGCAGACAGAAAGACAGGAUGCCCUGCCCGGGGGGCCCAGAGACUCCCCGCAGCCGGACGGGAAGACCGCCCCACCCCACCAGCAACCGGGCCCCCACGAGCCCAAUCCCCCCCCCACAGGAGAGCACAGCAGGGCUCGCCCUAGCCCCCCCACCCAAGUCGGUCGCCGCAGGACCGCCAAGCAUGGGGCCACAGGAACCGAUGGAGAUGGAACAUCCAGCAACUACCCUGGUGGGUCCUCCCCCUGAGAGAAGAGAAGAAAGAAAAAAAAAGUUCACAGACACGCUGACACACAAGGUCACUAUUCCAGCAGCUGGCCACCUUGCAGUACUGCAGAAUACCCUGCAGCACACUGAGCUGCCACGAUAGACGGGUGGUGGGGGGGUGGAUGCAGCAGGCCCCAAGAUGAGCAUCUGGAAGGGGUGGACGGUGGGACCCAGGGGCCCCAGACACGCAGCCCAGGUGCAGUAGCCUGAGGCGCCGACUCUCACCGUCUG